rnacentral:tRNA from 1 species
GCCCGCAUAGCUCAGAGGAUAGAGCAAGCGCGUCCUAAGCGUUUGGUCGUAGGUUCGACUCCUACUGCGGGCGCCA